AUAUUCUAAUUAAACUACUUCUU
rnacentral:tRNA from 2 species